CCGGAGCCGGUUGCCACGGCGACGCCUGCAAAGAUGGCUGCUGCGUCUUCGUCGGAUUCCGACAGCGGCAGAGCUGAGAGCAAUGAGGCCAGUUCGAAAUGGCUGGACGCACACUACGACCCCAUGGCCAACAUCCACACCUUUUCCUCCUGCCUGGCGCUGGCAGAUUUGCAUGGGGAUGGGGAGUACAAGGU